rnacentral:lncRNA from 1 species
AAGAUUGGACAUGGUUAAUCCAUAACGGUGAAGAGUGCUUGGUAUAGGUUUACUCCUUAAUCUUGAACUCCUUUAUUUUAUUUUUAAUAAAUGGCUCGGUUGAGCCACCAAGCACAGAUUUCUUGCAGGGCUCGGAUCGGCCAUGUGCCUCUAUAGUAAAGCUUGUCUGGAUUUGAUUACAGGUCAAGUAGGUCAAUUUGCACGGUCAAACGGUUAUAGCUCACAAGUCAUGGUUGGACCCAGAGACAGAGCCAAUACUUGACGAGGUAGCGCAACCGCCAAUGCUAACUACAUCAAAAUUUACAGGUUGGAUGUCGCUAUUCUUGCAGACUUGCAGUCGCCGUCGAGAAGAUUGAAUCCAGAUGGAUUAGGGAAGGAGGAAAAAGAGAAACCUUUGAACUUGGGCCAUUUUUUAUUUUUUAUUUUUUAAAUUUUGGGCCUUUUGUUUUGG